CCAAUAGCGUAUAUUAAAGUUGUUGCAGUUAAAAAGCUCGUAGUUGAAUUUCGGGAUCAAGGAAUCGGUCAUGCCUUGGUAUGUACUGGUUUUAUUGGUUCUCACCUUCUAAAGAACCAUAAUGUCAUUCAUUUGAUGUUAUGGGGAAUUAGGACUGUUACCUUGAAAAAAUUAGAGUGUCUAAAGCAGGCUUACGCUUGAAUACAUUAGCAUGGAAUAAUGAAAUAGGACAUCAGAUUCUAUUUUGUUGGUUUCUAGGAUCGAUGUAAUGAUUAAUAGGGAUAGUUGGGGGCAUUAGUAUUCAAUUGUCAGAGGUGAAAUUCUUGGAUUUAUUGAAGACUAACUACUGCGAAAGCAUUUGCCAAGGAUGUUUUCAUUAAUCAAGAACGAAAGUUAGGGGAUCGAAGACGAUCAGAUACCGUCGUAGUCUUAACCAUAAACUAUGCCGACUAGGGAUCGGAUGAUGUUAAUUUUAUAAUGACUCAUUCGGCACCUUACG
rnacentral:rRNA from 1 species